GUCCUGAAACAUAUCGUUCAUUUGUGACAGACAGUGUUGAUCCUCCAUCAGAGCUGAUCGAAGGUUGUGAACACCAUUUUCAGGACUACGAGGACAUGGACAUCGUUUAUUGGGAUUGAUUGGGAUUGUCAUCGAUUUUAAUCAAUUUGGACGUCAGGAAGUUUGUGAACCAGUGGAAUCACAUAAAGUGUCAUCGACUAGAACUCCUGGGGACCUAAAUUCCAUGGAACAGUAUCCUUUGAAUAAUUUCUCGUCAAAAAAUUCCCAAAAGGAAAUUUUUUAUACAAAAUUAUUGUCGACAAUCCCCAGGAGACAUCGACACCAUAUCAUUGAUUAUUGAUGGACUCAAGUGUUUAUAUUUUGCUUCGAAUGGUUUCCAUGUUAAUAAUAUUGAAAAUGAUAAUAAUAAUAUUGAAUCGUUAUCCUCGACGUCAAAUUUACUGAUAAUUGUCGUCGAUGUAAUGAGUCAUCCCGAGCAAUAGCAUAAAAAAAUAUUCAUUCAUCAGUUCUCUAAAAAUAUUUCAGUUAUUUCAUGCGUUAACUUCGUCACGACUCAUAAGGAAGAAACAAGACGAUUGAGAUUGAAGAUUGAGUAACUGAUUGGCGUAAGUGAAAGUACCCAGAUCCUUAGAGCAAGUGCAUGAGACGUUAAAAUUUACUUCCUGUUCAGCCUACAUUUCACUUCCAUGCAAUAGACUGCUCGUGUGUUCUACGUACUCCUCGUGGACUUCAGCUCGGUGUAAAUUUCUCUGGGAGUGUCAGUAAUUGAAAUUCACUGUCAUUAAAUUGUCAUGUGAAUUCGUCAGUAGAAAAAAUUUUAAAAAAAUGAAAACUGUAUCUGGGGGAAAGUGACGGAUAUUCUGCGGUUGUUUUGCUGUGUCAAAUGAUCACAUUUCCGGGAAGAAGUACAAGUCAUCAGAAAGAAAUUAAGGCAACAAACUGAUUAAGUCGUCAUCGUCGUUCAAUUGUAAAUGUCAUUUGCAUAACUUCGAUUUUUUGCUGCUUCAUUGCGUGAUUUAAUUACCUUUUAAGAGUGUAUAUUCAAUUAGAUCAUUCUUUCGAGUAAUUAGCGAAGAAAUGAGACUGACUCCUGGGGGAAUUUGAAGGAAUUAAAGGAAUUAAAAGGAAUUAAA